ACAGCAGUAGCCACGGGAAUACAGAGGGUGCGAGCGUUAAUCGGAUUUACUGGGCGUAAAGCGUGCGUAGGCGGCUUCUUAAGUCGGAUGUGAAAUCCCUGAGCUUAACUUAGGAAUUGCAUUCGAUACUGGGAAGCUAGAGUAUGGGAGAGGAUGGUAGAAUUCCAGGUGUAGCGGUGAAAUGCGUAGAGAUCUGGAGGAAUACCGAUGGCGAAGGCAGCCAUCUGGCCUAAUACUGACGCUGAGGUACGAAAGCAUGGGGAGCAAACAGGAUUAGAUACCCGGGUAGUCCCUGUCUCUUAUAC
rnacentral:rRNA from 1 species